AAUAAUAUGAAAAGGUCCAGGAGUUCUAGCAUGAAAUUUUUUGAAAAAAUAUUUAGAAUCAUGCUCAUUAAAAUCCUGAUUUCUGCGGUGAACAUCAACAACAAAUUUAUAAGUCUUAUUUACUCAUCACAAUCUUAUGUCCGAUUUCAGCAUGAAGAUCUCGAAUAUAGUAAGCAAAGGAUUCUACAAAUUCAGAAGGAUGA
rnacentral:lncRNA from 1 species